rnacentral:rRNA from 1 species
UACAGAGGUCUCAAGCGUUGUUCGGUUUCAUUGGGCGUAAAGGGUGCGUAGGCGGCGCGGUAAGUCGGGUGUGAAAUCUCGGAGCUUAACUCCGAAACUGCAUUCGAUACUGCCGUGCUUGAGGACUGGAGAGGAGACUGGAAUUUACGGUGUAGCGGUGAAAUGCGUAGAUAUCUGGAGGAACACCGGUGGCGAAGGCGGCAUCCUGGACCAACACUGACGCUGAGGUGCGAAAGCGUGGGGAGCAAACAGG